GCCCUCGUAGCUCAGGGGAUAGAGCGCAGCGCUGCGGACGCUGAGGCCGCGCGUUCGAGUCGCGCCGAGGGUACCA
rnacentral:tRNA from 1 species